AGGGAAUCUUCCGCAAUGGACGAAAGUCUGACGGAGCAACGCCGCGUGAGUGAUGAAGGCUUUCGGGUCGUAAAACUCUGUUGUUAGGGAAGAACCAGUACAAGAGUAACUGCUUGUACCUUGACGGUACCUAACCAGAAAGCCACGGCUAACUACGUGCAAGCAGCCGCGGUAAUACGUAGGUGGCAAGCGUUAUCCGGAAUUAUUGGGCGUAAAGCGCGCGCAGGCGGUUUCUUAAGUCUGAUGUGAAAGCCCACGGCUCAACCGUGGAGGGUCAUUGGAAACUGGGGAACUUGAGUGCAGAAGAGAAAAGCGGAAUUCCACGUGUAGCGGUGAAAUGCGUAGAGAUGUGGAGGAACACCAGUGGCGAAGGCGGCUUUUUGGUCUGUAACUGACGCUGAGGCGCGAAAGCGUGGGGAGCAAA
rnacentral:rRNA from 1 species